AUGGGGAUGAGGCAAAGCCGGAUCCGGGCCUGGCUCCAGGCGGCCGUGACCCUGCUGGAGUCCGGGGGGGACCUCCAGCCCCCCGGGGGGUCCCUGCGCCUCCUCUGCCGAGGGGAUGGAUUCGAAAUCGGGAAAUUUGGGAUGUCCUGGGUGCGCCAGAGACCCGGGAAGGGGCUGGAAUUCAUUUCAGCCAUCAGCAGGAAGAGCGGCAAGACGUUCUAUGCGCCGUGGGUGCGGGGCCGGUUGACGAUGGGCAGCGACAACGGGCAGAGCUCGGUGACGCUGAGCAUGAACAACCUCCAGGACGAGGAUUCCGGGGUUUAUUUCUGUGCCAAAACCUUUGGAAAUAGUUGGAACCCUGCUGCUCUUGGUCACGCCGGGGCCGUUUCCCCCCAGCCCCUCCCAAUCCCGGCCGUCGCCCCCCGAGCGCUUUUGGGGCCCGGGUUGGGAUUUGGGGCCCAGAGUUGA